rnacentral:rRNA from 1 species
UGGGGAAUUUUGGACAAUUGGGCGAAAGCCUGAUCCAGCAAUGCCGCGUGUGUGAAGAAGGCCUUCGGGUUGUAAAGCACUUUUGUCCGGAAAGAAAUCCUUGGCUCUAAUACAGUCGGGGGAUGACGGUACCGGAAGAAUAAGCACCGGCUAACUACGUGCCAGCAGCCGCGGUAAUACGUAGGGUGCAAGCGUUAAUCGGAAUUACUGGGCGUAAAGCGUGCGCAGGCGGUUUGCUAAGACCGAUGUGAAAUCCCCGGGCUCAACCUGGGAACUGCAUUGGUGACUGGCAGGCUAGAGUAUGGCAGAGGGGGGUAGAAUUCCACGUGUAGCAGUGAAAUGCGUAGAGAUGUGGAGGAAUACCGAUGGCGAAGGCAGCCCCUGGCAAGUACUGACGCUCAUGCACGAAAAGCGUGGGGAGCAAA